rnacentral:rRNA from 1 species
AAAACGACUNUCGGCAACGGAUAUCUCGGCUCUCGCAUCGAUGAAGAACGUAGCAAACUGCGAUACUUGGUGUGAANUGCAGAAUCCCGUGAACCAUCGAGUCUUUGAACGCAAGUUGCGCCCGAAGCCAUUAGGCCGAGGGCACGUCUGCCUGGGCGUCACGC